rnacentral:sRNA from 1 species
GACUAAUCCGCGGGCCGCGGGGAAUGGGUGGCGCGCCAGUCGGUCGGCCGGGGUCACGCGGCCGGGUGUGCGCGGAAUGGAUUCAGGGUUCCCGGGUCUCGCCCGGGAGCUAGAGUCCCGACUCCCAGCCAGGGUCCCCGACCGGCCUUUCGGGGUUGCCGGGCGCGCUCUGCAAAGGGGAAACUGAGGCCCAAGGAAAUUGAGUAUCUCUGCAAAGUCCCCAGCUGAGUUCGAACCAGACAGAUCCUGGGACCCCCUACUCUAUCCGCCACCCGGAAGAAUCUCCGUCCUUGUCUUUCCAUUCUGCCCUCCCGGCUUCCCAGUAAGGUAGGCAGGGCCUGGUGGUGCACUGCCCCGUUUCAUAGAUUGAAGAAAGUGAGGUCCAGGGGGCUCAAGUCCCAGUUCCGAGUGUCCACGGCACACAGCCCCAGGACCACCCUUGACCAUCCUCAACCAAGCUAUGCAUGCCAGGGGCCCCCAUGGCCAACUGUCCCCGGCGCUGCCUCUGGCCUCCUCAGUCCUCAUGCUGCUGAUGAGCAGCCUGUGGCUGGUGGGGGCCGGCCCUGGCCUGGUCCUGGCCCCGGAGCUGUUGCUGGACCCCUGGCAGGGUGAGGGCCAGCCACGUGGACCUUGGAGGAAGC